AUGACUGUACUUACCUGGCUGUUGUCAAGUUCUUGUCGUUACAAGGUGUUCGUGGGAACUCGGGUGGCGGAGAUACAAGAACUCACAGCAUCUGCGACCUGGCGUUACAUACGAUCUGAGGACAAUCCUGCGGACAGCAUCACAAGAGGUAAACACCUGUGUGACCUAGUACAAGGAAGCCAGUGGAAUCAAGGUCCUUCAUUUCUCAAACUGCUGUCAGCGAAUUGGCCCAAGCAACCUUUCUUGCCUGCUGAAGAACAGAGUAAUGAGCUAAGGCAGUCAGCAUUUUGUGGAUCAACUACAGUUGUACCUUUGCCAAAUCCACAGCAGUACGACACACUGGCCGAGUUCAUAAAGGCAUGCAGUCAGCAGCUUCACGGGUUGGCGAACAUUACAUGCGCUGACAAACAGAGAGAAGUAGAACAAACAGUGCUUCAUCAAAUGCAGACCGGGUCCUUCCCUACAGAGAUGGUCCAACUGAAGUCUGGGAAACCAGUAUCUGGAAUGAGCAGGUUGGCUUCUCUCUCUCCUGAGUUUGACCCCACCAGUGGUCUUAUUCGUGUAGGUGCUGCAGUGAGGCAGAAUUGGAUUCUGUUCAUCCCAUCGUCCUUGCCCCUCAACAUCCUGUGACCAAGUUCAUAAUCAAGGAUUAUGAUAAGAAGCUGCACCACCCUGGGCCAAAAUGAGUUUUCGCAGAGUUAAGGAGAACUUACUGGGUAUUGCGAGACCGCGAAGCAGUACGCCGACACCAACGUCAAUGUGAAGAGUGUCAAAAAUGGAAGGGACAACCAGAAGUUCCUCGAAUGGCUGACUGACCACUUGUAAGACAACAGCUCUUUAAGCCUGCCUUCUUCUCAACUGGCAUGGACUGUUUCGGACCCUACAUGAUUAAGAUCGGACGCCGAAAUGAGAAGAGGUGGGGCAUAUUGUUUAAGUGCCUUACAACCAGGGCUGUGUAUAUAGAUCUGUUGGUGAGCAUAGAUUCAGACUCCUUCCUAAUGGCCCUGAGACGGCUCAUCGCUCGACGUGGGAAGCCUAACGAGUUGUUAAGUGAUCAAGGCACUAACUUCAAGGGUGGAGAAAGAGAGCUGAAGGAGUCCUUUGCUGCUUUGCAUGAGGAGCUACAAGACCACCUUGCUUCCCAGCAAAUCAAGUUUGUCUUCAAUCCACCAGGAGCUCCCCACUUCGGUGGAUGCUGGGAAAGGGAGAUACGUUCAAUUAAAUCUGCUCUCCAAGUUACCCUGGGGGCGCAGACUGUGACAGAAGAAGUUUUGAGAACAGUGUUAACCGAAAUUGAGGGGAUCCUCAACUCAAAACCUCUCGGCUACACUUCAUCUGACAUCUCUGACAUUGACCCA
ensembl:lncRNA